rnacentral:misc_RNA from 1 species
AAGAGGAAGAAAUUAUCGUCUAUUACAGCUUUAUGUAAUUGUGUAAAUAGUUUUGAGCUUAUGAUUGCUAACUAUUUAUUGACAAUGAAAUAUGACAAAUUUGAUCGUUGUGGUUCUUUUUUUUUUUGUUUCUUUAUACUUUACACGUUUUCACAGUUUAAGUGGAAGUGAAUUGAAUUUUGCAUGAUUCCAUCUGUGGCAGCAGGUUAUGAGAAUCCCAUCAUAUGACAA